rnacentral:miRNA from 1 species
GCUCUGAGGACCGGGGCGUGUC